rnacentral:rRNA from 1 species
UACGAAGGGGGCUAGCGUUGCUCGGAAUCACUGGGCGUAAAGCGCACGUAGGCGGCUUUCUAAGUCAGGGGUGAAAUCCUGGAGCUCAACUCCAGAACUGCCUUUGAUACUGGAAAGCUUGAGUUCGGGAGAGGUGAGUGGAACUGCGAGUGUAGAGGUGAAAUUCGUAGAUAUUCGCAAGAACACCAGUGGCGAAGGCGGCUCACUGGCCCGAUACUGACGCUGAGACGCGAAAGCGUGGGGAGCGAACAGG